UACGUAGGUGGCAAGCGUUGUCCGGAAUUAUUGGGCGUAAAGCGCGCGCAGGCGGUCCUUUAAGUCUGAUGUGAAAGCCCACGGCUCAACCGUGGAGGGUCAUUGGAAACUGGGGGACUUGAGUACAGAAGAGAAGAGUGGAAUUCCACGUGUAGCGGUGAAAUGCGUAGAGAUGUGGAGGAACACCAGUGGCGAAGGCGACUCUUUGGGAAGAUACUGACGCUGAGGUGCGAAAGCGUGGGGAGCAAACAGG
rnacentral:rRNA from 1 species